GACGAACGCUGGCGGCGUGCUUAACACAUGCAAGUCGAACGAGUGUCGAACGGGUGAGUAAUAAGUGAGUAACCUGCCCUCUUUUUGGGAUAAGCCUUGGAAACGGGGUCUAAUACCGGAUAAAGGUGGAUGGGCUCGGGGCCUAUCAGCUUGUGGGUGGGGUGAUGGCCUACCAAGGAGGUUACGGGUAGCCGGCCUGAGCGGGUGGACUGCUACAUUGGGACUGUGAUACGGCCCAGAUUACUAAGGUAGGCAGCAGUGGGGGAUAUUGCACAAUGGGCGAAAGCCUGAUGCAGCUACGCCGCGUGGGGGAUGAAGGCUUUCGGGUUGUAAACCUCUUUCGCUAUCGAACCGGUAGGUGGAGAAGAAGCGACGGCUAACUACGUGCCAGCAGCCGCGGUAAUAC
rnacentral:rRNA from 1 species